CCUACGGGGGGCUGCAGUGGGGAAUAUUGGACAAUGGGCGAAAGCCUGAUCCAGCCAUGCCGCGUGUGUGAAGAAGGCCUUCGGGUUGUAAAGCACUUUCAGUGGGGAAGAAAGCCUUGGGGCUAAUACCCUCGAGGAAGGACAUCACCCACAGAAGAAGCACCGGCUAACUCCGUGCCAGCAGCCGCGGUAAUACGGAGGGUGCGAGCGUUAAUCGGAAUUACUGGGCGUAAAGCGCGCGUAGGCGGUCUGAUAAGCCGGUUGUGAAAGCCCCGGGCUCAACCUGGGAACGGCAUCCGGAACUGUCAGGCUAGAGGGCAGGAGAGGAAGGUAGAAUUCCCGGUGUAGCGGUGAAAUGCGUAGAGAUCGGGAGGAAUACCAGUGGCGAAGGCGGCCUUCUGGACUGACACUGACGCUGAGGUGCGAAAGCGUGGGUAGCAAACAGGAUUAGAUACCCUGUAGUC
rnacentral:rRNA from 1 species